GCUGGGCGUGGUGAUGCACACCUGUAAUCCCAGCGUCUUGGGAGGCUGAGGCAGGAGGAUCGCGAGUUCAAAGCCAGCCUCAC
rnacentral:sRNA from 1 species